rfam:Ovis aries breed Texel chromosome 15, whole genome shotgun sequence.
UUCCUGGUGGUCCAAUGGUUAAGACUCAGUGCUUUUACUGCUGUGGGCUCAGGUUCAAUCCCUGGUCAGGGAA